GGGCGAUUAGCUCAGUUGGUAGAGCAGCGCUUUUACACAGCGAAGGUCGGGGGUUCGAAUCCCUCAUCGCCCACAA
rnacentral:tRNA from 1 species